AAGUUAACGUCAAUGAUAAUGAGUAUUAAUCAUUACCCUUUCUUCACAAUUGAAAGUGCUUUACAACCCUCAGGCCUUCUUCACACACGCGGCAUUGCUGGAUCAGGCUUGCGCCCAUUGUCCAAUAUUCCCC
rnacentral:rRNA from 1 species